rnacentral:rRNA from 1 species
UACGUAGGGAGCAAGCGUUGUUCGGAUUUACUGGGCGUAAAGAGCGUGUAGGCGGCCGCACAGGUCCGUUGUGAAAACUGGAGGCUCAACCUUCAGACGUCGAUGGAAACCGUGCGGCUAGAGUCCGGAAGAGGAGAGUGGAAUUCCUGGUGUAGCGGUGAAAUGCGCAGAUAUCAGGAAGAACACCCGUGGCGAAGGCGGCUCUCUGGGACGGUACUGACGCUGAGACGCGAAAGCGUGGGGAGCGAACAGG